GAAAGCCAUCAUCCUCGGCCCGCCAGGCAAUCAGGGGGAUCCAGAGGCAGAGGACCUUCAAGAGGGCAGAGGCCCAACAGGAGGAACCCCGGUGCAAAGGUGUUUUCCCCUGUGUUCAAGGUUGACAAUGUGACAUUUCAGAACAUCACUGAUGUAACCCUGAAGGAGGGAGAGAACAUAUUUCUGAUGCCGAGGCAUGGAGGAAGAGGAGCUCACAACCACAAGGGAGGAAGACAUGGGCCUCCGAAGGAUGUGCAAGUUGUGAAGCUCAUCUACAACGCCACAGAGCCGAACAAAGUUUCAGUUGAGUUUGGGCUUUUUAAACCUAAACUUGGUGAAUUUAUUGGAGAAGAAAACAAUGAUGAAGAUUAUUGACAACAAUAAAAG